rnacentral:rRNA from 1 species
UACAGAGGUCCCAAGCGUUGUUCGGAUUCAUUGGGCGUAAAGGGUGUGUAGGUGGCGCCGUAAGUCGGGUGUGAAAUUUCGGAGCUUAACUCCGAAACUGCAUUCGAUACUGCGGUGCUUGAGGACUGGAGAGGAGACUGGAAUUCAUGGUGUAGCAGUGAAAUGCGCAGAUAUCAGGAGGAACACCGGUGGCGAAGGCGGGUCUCUGGGCCGAUACUGACGCUGAGGAGCGAAAAGCGUGGGGGAGCGAACAGG